rnacentral:lncRNA from 10 species
GUUCAAUAAUGACUCCACGUCCCAAGUGAUCUGUGCCGCUCUCUCAUCUACACCGCGGGUGCCACACCCUUCCGUAGCUGAGGGUUUCAUGUCCUCUCCCUCCUUGCUUCUGCCUUAUCAAAACCUGGUCUCAGAAAAAGAAAGUCUGUUCCCAGUCAAUGAGUAUAAUUUUGUUUAAAUGUCAUUGCCCCUUUUCCUCUUUGAGUUAGGCAAUUCAGUUUCCUCUUUGAGUUAGGUUUGGUAAAAAGUUUUGUCUCCUGUGUAAAUAAUUUAGCUGUAUGCUAACUGGAGGAGCUACCAAGUGUACCAGUGGUGGCCACUUACUGCAUUCAGUGAGGGCCUCCUCUUUCCACUCCCUUCGUGACUAAGAGUGAGGGAAUCAGAGGUGACUCACAUUAGGCCUUUACUGUAUAUCUCAGUAUACUUAAGAAUGUUGACCUUAACCUCGGCAAGGGCGGAGAGACGCAUGGUCCACAGCAGCGCAUCUCCAGAGCCUGGACCGAGCUGAGAGCAUGCAGAGCCUCCAUAACUGGUCAGAGGAACUGAACUCCCGGCCCCAAAAAACCCUAUACACAGCAAAGGAGAGGCAUAGAUGGGAGGUAACCUCUUCUUAGAAACAGCAAAAUGAUGUGCAAAAGAGACAGAGACAUCCUACAAAACUCUAUUUACUUUUCUCAUAUUUGAGGGGAAAAAAACCAUUCAGAAACCCUUCCCUGAAAAUUAAGGCCUGGACCCAAGUGGAGAUGGAAACCUUUGAUUCCAACUGACCCUACUGCUGUGUUCACAAGGACAGGACCACGUGAUUACUCCGGGAUCCCUGAACACACAGAACCUACUAGUAUCACCUGCAUUUUACUGAUGAGGAAAUCAAAGCCUAGAGACAGAAGCCGACUUCACAAGAACACAGCACUAGUAAGUGGAGAGCCGGGAUUCAAACCUGAGUCCACACUUGUAGCCGCCAUGCUGUGCUGCCGUUCUCAGCACUGGAUCGUAGAUGUCCCUGCCCACAAGCCCUUGGCCUGAGGAAUGAUCCAAUUGUAGCUUCCCUGACCUGACCUCAAGAAAGAUGCAAUCCUCCUGUAUGACAUCAAAGCUUCGUUUGCUCCCACAGCUCUCACCCGCGACUUCCCUAACUCCCAAGGCUUCCCCUAAGCUGUGGAGGACUUCAGCAGUGAGUCAUCAGUGAUCUGAACUCUCUGAUCUCUUGCUAUGUUUGGGGCCCUCCCUCUGUCUCUGAAGACUUUUAGUGACAACCCAGAAAUUAAGAACUUUCCCCUAUGCUUUUAUGUUUUCUAAUAUCACAUAGCAAAGAGCUACACAGCAGCAUUUGAGUCCAAAUGCUACUUAAUCUGAAUGAUCACUUGCCAAUCUCUAAGUGUUAUUUGGAGCAUCACAUAGAGCAAUAACAACAAGUGCUCAUUCUUUUCCACUAAGAGGGUCCCUUGCAUAAGGACCCCUUUUCCUCAGUAUUCAUUAUGAAGGGUGUUCAAAAAAGUGUUUUCAGAAGUCUGUAAAUGUUCUACAAAAAUUUUUAUUUGUGCAUUUUUUUUUUAUUUUUUUAGAGAGGUCUUGCUAUAUUGUCCAGGAUGGUCUUGAACUCCUGACCUCAAGCAAUCCUUCUGCCUCUGCCUCCCAAAGUGCUGGGAUUACAGGCACUAACCACCAUGCCUAGCCUGAAUAUUUUUUUUUAAUUUGAAGAUUUUACUUUUAUAACUUUGGCAUACUGAAAAAAAUAAUAUGGUUGUAAAGUUUUGUUCUUUCUCCCAUUGAGAGACAGAGUCUAUUUCUCCCUGGAAGCUAAACUUGGUCACACCACUUGUUUUGGCCAAUAAGUCACUAGCAAAUAUGGCAUGAGCAGUAGCUUGAGAAAGGUUGUCCCCUUAGGGUUUGUCUUCUCUUGCUGACUUUGGAACCCAGCAGCCAUGGGAAGAAGGUAGGGCUGGUCAGCUAGAAGCUGGACUUAUGCCAUCCCAGCCAACUGCCAAACACAUGAGUGAGGCCAUCUAGGAUCCAGUGACCACAGCCACCUAAGAGGGCUAUGGCAAGUCUAGUAGAAGAACUGCCCAACUGUGCUCAGCUUGAAUUGCCAAUCCACAGAAUUACGAGCUAAUGAAUAAGCGUUGCUUUAAAUCACUAAGUUUUUUGGGGUAGUUUCCUACUUAGUGAAACCUGAGAUGAUGAUAACAUAACGAAAUGAGCAUAAGCAUCUCCUGGAGCAUGUGUAUAACCACCUUAUGCUGACGCUGUCACACGCUUCCUAUGUGCAUGUUUGAGAUUGUGUCUAUGAUCUUAUUAAUUGCAUUCACUUUGCUUAUAAACUAAUGAGAUAAGAGCAGUGCAUGUAACACAUUUGUUCCAAGUGAGGUAAAUGAAGUCCCAGCCCUUUAUACAAACGGGGUAAGAGGUGAAAUGGGGAAACUGGGAGAAUUGGUGAAGAAGUCAGUCAUAAUGAGGCACACAAUUUUUCCACAAAUCAUAAUUUUGUCCAUGUGGUUUUAUAAAGGAACUUGAGCCAUUAAGUAUAAGGAAUUUGUACCUAUGCUUUUUUUUUACAUGUUCAUGUGCUUAAAUAACAUGAUAAUAAAUGCAUAUUUAAAUAACAUUAAAAUGGAA